UCCUGUCUUUGUUUUGCUUCCGGGGUGCCCGUCAUUACUCGGUGGCGUGUGGUGGCAAGUUGGCUUGUGUAGCCACUUCUCCGACGAGUGUGUUUUAAUUAAGUCAGCUUGAGUGGUCCAUAUUCACUGGCAAGGCUGUUGUAGCGAGCUCUGAUGCUGGGUGCUCGGUGGGAAUCAGCUGGAGCCGUAGCCAAGCCUCUCAUAAGCUCAAUUCAUGACCUGCGGUCCCAGAGAGGGGAUUCAUCGCCACUUGUCGUGUGGGAAGUGGAUUACAGCCAAGUGCCUCCACGCCUUGGAAAGGCUGCUGUUCUGUUGUGCUGUGGAUUUGUGGAUGACGUUUUCAUACGGUCGGGAUUGAACGGCGUGCCUAGUUUGGGCGGCUUCACUGUCAGGAUCAACCUCUGGGCCCUGGUGGACAGCCUGACUGCCUCCCCUCCCCCUGCCUGAGAUAAGUAGCCUAGUUUGAUAAAUGGGCUAUUGGUGAAUGAAUGAUUGCCAUAUAAUUACUGUCAAGCCUUUUACCAACUCUUGUGUCUCUGUUCCUCCUCUCUCUCUCUCUCUCUCUCUCUCUCUCUCGCUUUCUCUCUCUUCCGGACAGGUGUGGUGAGUUUCCCACAGGCGGCAGGCCAACCUUCAGGUGGCGGAGUUCCCCCCUCACUUUUCUCUGCUGUGUACAACGGGUGCUUUAUUCUGAAUUGCAGUGUAAUUGCAGUGCCAUUAUCCUUCACGUGUGGUGCGUGUCUUCUGGGUCCCUCCUUUUCCCCCUUUUUGGAAAUCCUGCUCGCUGUGGUAAGCCCCCUGCCUUGCUCCACUCCCUUUGAUUACGGGUCACAGGUUAAGCUACGGCGUAACAGUGUGGUUGCCAUCAUUAACCAUCCAGUAGAUCUGACCCAGGCGUCUCCUGUAUUUACACCUGAUGCAUUGCUUUUAUGGUUGAAUCUGUGUAUGUAUCAAUAAAUCAUGUUAACUUAA